UACGUAGGGGGCAAGCGUUGUCCGGAAUCAUUGGGCGUAAAGCGCGCGUAGGUGGCCACAUAAGUCCGUUGUGAAAGUCAAAGGCUCAACCUUUGAACGCCGAUGGAUACUGUGUGGCUAGAGUACGGAAGAGGCGAGUGGAAUUCCUGGUGUAGCGGUGGAAUGCGCAGAUAUCAGGAGGAACACCAAUAGCGAAGGCAGCUCGCUGGGACGUUACUGACACUGAGGCGCGAAAGCGUGGGGAGCGAACAGG
rnacentral:rRNA from 1 species